UACGGAGGGGGCUAGCGUUGUUCGGAAUUACUGGGCGUAAAGCGCACGUAGGCGGCUUUGCAAGUCAGAGGUGAAAGCCCGGGGCUCAACCCCGGAAUUGCCUUUGAGACUGCAUCGCUAGAAUUGUGGAGAGGUAAGUGGAAUUACGAGUGUAGAGGUGAAAUUCGUAGAUAUUCGGAAGAACACCAGUGGCGAAGGCGACUUACUGGACACAUAUUGACGCUGAGGUGCGAAAGCGUGGGGAGCAAACAGG
rnacentral:rRNA from 1 species